CUACCGGAGUACUAUGAAUAAUAUAUAAUUUAAAACUCAAAGAACUUGGCGGUGUUUUAGACCACUUAGGGGAACCUGUCUCGUAAUCGACAGUCCACGUUGCACCUGACCUUUUUUUGUUUUCAGUUUGUAUACCGUUGUCGUCAGGUAACUUUUUAGAAAGUAGAAGUUGGCUAUAGAAAUUUAGUGAUUUAGUACGUCAAAUCAAGGUGCAGCUAAUGAAAGGGGGAGGAUGGGUUACAGUUAUACAGUUAUAAUAACGGAUGUCUACAUGAAAGUGUGGGUUGUGAAGGAGGACUUAGAAGUAAAUUGAAUUAGGAAAACAGUUUGAAUGAGGCUCUGAAACGUGU
rnacentral:rRNA from 1 species